AGUCGAACGGGAUUUAGUAAACAGAAGCCUCGGUGGAAGAUUACUAAUGAGAGUGGCGAACGGGUGAGUAACGCGUGAGCAACCUGCCUAUGACAGUGGGAUAGCCUCGGGAAACCGGGAUUAAUACCGCAUAAAAUCGUAGAAACACAUGUUUCAACGGUCAAAGAUUUAUCGGUCAUAGAUGGGCUCGCGUCUGAUUAGCUAGUUGGUGAGAUAACAGCCCACCAAGGCGACGAUCAGUAGCCGGUCUGAGAGGAUGAACGGCCACAUUGGAACUGAGACACGGUCCAAACUCCUACGGGAGGCAGCAGUGGGGAAUAUUGCACAAUGGGGGAAACCCUGAUGCAGCGACGCCGCGUGAACGAAGAAGGUAUUCGUAUCGUAAAGUUCUGUCCUAUGGGAAGAUAAUGACAGUACCAUAGAAGAAAGCUCCGGCUAAAUACGUGCCAGCAGCCGCGGUAAUACGUAUGGAGCGAGCGUUGUCCGGAAUUAUUGGGCGUAAAGGGUACGCAGGCGGUUUAAUAAGUCGAAUGUUAAAGAUCGGGGCUCAACCCCGUAAAGCAUUGGAAACUGAUAAACUUGAGUAGUGGAGAGGAAAGUGGAAUUCCUAGUGUAGUGGUGAAAUACGUAGAUAUUAGGAGGAAUACCAGUAGCGAAGGCGACUUUCUGGACAC
rnacentral:rRNA from 1 species